rnacentral:rRNA from 1 species
AGUGAACGCUGGCGGUAGGCCUAACACAUGCAAGUCGAACGGCAGCACAGUAAGAGCUUGCUCUUACGGGUGGCGAGUGGCGGACGGUUGAGGAAUCCAUCGGCAUCUACUUUUUCGUGGGGGAUAACGUAGGGAAACUUACGCUAAUACCGCAUACGACCUAUGGGUUAAAGUAGGGGAUUUUUGGACCUUGCGCGAUUGAAUGAGCCGAUGUUGGAUUAGUUAGUUGGCGGGGUAAAGGCCCACCAAGGCGACGGUCCGGAGCUGGUCUGAGAGGAUGAUGAGCCACACUAGAACUGUAACACGAGCCGGACUCCUACGCGACGCAGCGGUGGGGAAUAGUGGACAGUAGGAGCGAGCCUGAUCCAGCCAUGCCGCGUGGGUGAAAAAGGCCUUGGGGUUGGAAAGCCCUUCUGUUGGUAAAGAAAAACAGCAGGUUAAUACCGCGCUGAGCUGACGGUACCCAAAGAAUAAGCACCGGCUAACUUCGUG